CCUACGGGUGGCAGCAGUAAGGAUUAUUGGUCAAUGGACGAAAGUCUGAACCAGCCAUGCCGCGUGGAGGAUGAAGGUCCUCUGGAUUGUAAACUUCUUUUAUAUGGGACGAAAAAAGGCCUUUCUAGGCCGUCUGACGGUACCAUAUGAAUAAGCACCGGCUAACUCCGUGCCAGCAGCCGCGGUAAUACGGAGGGUGCAAGCGUUAUCCGGUUUCACUGGGUUGUAGGGGGGUUUAGGAGUCAGGGUAUAAAUCUACGAGCUUAACUUGGAAACUGCCAUGGAUACUAUUAAUCUUGAAUAUUGUGGAGGUUAGCGGAAUAUGUCAUGUAGCGGUGAAAUGCUUAGAUAUGACAUAGAACACCAAUUGCGAAGGCAGCUGGCUACACAUAUAUUGACACUGAGGCACGAAAGCGUGGGGAUCAAACAGGAUUAGAUACCCCAGUAGUC
rnacentral:rRNA from 1 species